GAUGAAGAACGCAGCGAACUGCGAUAAGUAAUGUGAAUUGCAGAAUUCAGUGAAUCAUCGAGUCUUUGAACGCACAUUGCGCCCCCUGGCAUUCCGGGUGGCAUGCCUGUCCGAGCGUCAUUGCUGCCCUUCAAGCCCGGCUUGUGUGUUGGGUCGUCGUCCCCCCCGGGGGACGGGCCCGAAAGGCAGCGGCGGCACCGCGUCCGGUCCUCGAGCGUAUGGGGCUUUGUCACCCGCUCGAUUAGGGCCGGCCGGGCGCCAGCCGGCGUCUCCAACCUUCUAUUUUACCAGGUUGACCUCGGAUCAGGUAGGGAUACCCGCUGAACUUAAGCAUAUCAAUAAGCGGAGGA
rnacentral:misc_RNA from 1 species